rnacentral:rRNA from 1 species
CCAGGGUCAAGCUAAUCUGCCCUGGGUAAGUCGGGACCUAAGGCGAGGCCGACAGGCGUAGUCGAUGGACAUCCGGUUGAUAUUCCGGAACCGGCGAAGAACCGCCCAUGACGAACCUAGUGAUGCUAAACGCCCAAAGCUGUUGUCCAAGACCUUCGGGUUGAGGGUUUCAGUGGAGCGCGUGACCCGAUCUAGUAGUAGUCAAGCGAUGGAGAGACGCAGGAAGGUAGCCUCCGCGUGGCGAUGGUAGUCCACGUCCAAGGGUGUAGGGCGAGCUGUAGGCAAAUCCGCAGCUCACAUAGCCUGAGACCUGAUAGUGACCGCGUAUGCGGGAAGCAGGGUGAUCCUAUGCUGCCAAGAAAAUCUUCUAGCGAGGUUCGAGCCGCCCGUACCCCAAACCGACUCAGGUGGUUAGGUAGAGAAUACCAAGGCGAUCGAGUGAAUCGUGGUUAAGGAAUUCGGCAAAAUACCCCCGUAACUUCGGGAGAAGGGGGGCCCAGAGGGUGAAGGCACUUGCUGCCUAGCCUGAACGGCCGCAGAGACCAGGGAGAAGCGACUGUUUACUAAAAACACAGGUCCGUGCGAAGUCGCAAGACGAUGUAUACGGACUGACGCCUGCCCGGUGCUGGAAGGUUAAGAGGACCGGUUAGUUCUUCGGAGCGAAGCUGAGAAUUUAAGCCCCAGUAAACGGCGGUGGUAACUAUAACCAUCCUAAGGUAGCGAAAUUCCUUGUCGGGUAAGUUCCGACCUGCACGAAUGGCGUAACGACUUCUCCACUGUCUCAACCACGAACUCGGCGAAAUUGCACUACGAGUAAAGAUGCUC